ACAGGCACACGGCUCGAAUUAUCAGAAAAGCCGUUGAGAUAAGACAUGCAUGAUCUCCUUCCUAAAGAGGACAAGAAUGACAGCCACGUCAUCUGGAGAAGGCAGCCAGGGAAGUAGUCAAGAGAAAACACUUCUGUGGGUGACUUGAAGAAGCUGGUUACCAUAUGGUUGUUGGCCAAGCUUUGCUGGCUUUUUUGCAGCUUUCUGUUCCCGCAAGUUACUCCCCCAAAUCCUACCUAUUUUAAAAGCAACUCUCACAGGAAGAAAGGCUUGGUAGCCAACAGAUGACCACCACAUUCUCUCCCCCAAGACGUCUGAUUUCAGAAGAAAUUCAAGAAUGAAUAUUUACUGCCUAUAUCUGACAGAAGAAUCCCAUUUCUCAUGAGAAAAUCAAUGGAUAAUACUCAGCGUUUCUUC
rnacentral:lncRNA from 1 species